rnacentral:rRNA from 1 species
AGUGAACGCUGGCGGUAGGCCUAACACAUGCAAGUCGAACGGCAGCACAGUAAGAGCUUGCUCUUACGGGUGGCGAGUGGCGGACGGGUGAGGAAUACAUCGGAAUCUACUUUUUCGUGGGGGAUAACGUAGGGAAACUUACGCUAAUACCGCAUACGACCUACGGGUGAAAGCAGGGGAUAUUCGGACCUUGCGCGAUUGAAUGAGCCGAUGUCGGAUUAGCUAGUUGGCGGGGUAAAGGCCCACCAAGGCAACGAUCCGUAGCUGGUCUGAGAGGAUGAUCAGCCACACUGGAACUGAGACACGGUCCAGACUCCUACGGGAGGCAGCAGUGGGGAAUAUUGGACAAUGGGCGCAAGCCUGAUCCAGCCAUACCGCGUGGGUGAAGAAGGCCUUCGGGUUGUAAAGCCCUUUUGUUGGGAAAGAAAAGCAGCAGGUUAAUACCCCGCUGUUCUGACGGUACCCAAAGAAUAAGCACCGGCUAACUUCGUG